ensembl:lncRNA
AGUUCCCACUGUGGCACAGUAGGUUAAUGAUCUGGCUUGUCUCUCUGGAGGUGUGGGUUCGAUUCCCGGGCUGGCACAGUGGGUUAAGGAUCCGAUGUUGCCGCAGCUGGAGUGUAGGUGUCAGUUCCGGCUCAGGUUGGAGCCCUACCCCAGGAACUUCCACAUGCUGUGGGGGCAGCCAAAAUAGAGGGGGAAAAAAUUAUGUCUAUUUCUCCCACUACCCUCUGCCUUGGGCAACCACCAAUCUGCAUCCAUGAGUUUGGGGUGUAACUUCCACGUAUAGGAGAGAUCAUACACUAUUUGUCUUCAUCUGACUUACUUCACUUAGGAUAAUGAUGUCUAGGUUCAUCCACAUUGUCACAAAUGGCAAGAUUUCAUUCUUGGGAGUUCCCAUCGUGGCUCAGUGGUUAACAAGCCCAACUAGCAUCUAUGAGGAUGUUGGUUUGAUCCCUGGCCCCGCUCAGUGGGUUAGGGAUCCAGCGUUGCCGUGAGCUGUGGUGUAGGUUGCAGACGCCGCUCAGAUCCCACGUCACCGUGGCUGUGGCAUAUCUUUUCCAAUUAGUGGGGGUUUUUCAUCAGAUAAAUACCCAGAUGUGAAACUGCCAGAUCAUAGAGUAGUUCUAUUUUUAAUUUUUUGAAGAAACUCCUUACUAUUUUCCUUAGUGGCUGCACCAAUUUACAUUCCCACCACAAUGAGAUCUAUGCUAUUUGUGGAUAACAUGCUAUUAUGUACAGAAAACCCUAAAGACUCCAUUAAAAAACCGUUAGAAUGAAUAAAUGAAUUCAGUAAAGUUGUAGGAUUAAAAAAAAUCAAUACAAAAAAACCCUGUCGUAUUUCUAUAUACUAAUAAUGAACUGGCAGAAAGAGAAAUUAACAACCCCAUUUAUAACUACAUCAAAAAGAAUAAAAUACCUAGGAAUAAAUUAAUCAAGGAGGUAAAAGACCUGUACACUGAAAACUGCAAGACACAGAUGAAGGACAUUAAAGAAGACAAAUAAAUGGAAAGCUAUUCCAUGCUCACGGAUUGGAAGAAUUUAGAUUGUUAAAAUGAAUACAUAUAUAGACUAUUCUUUUUUCCACUUUAUAGAUUAGUAAACUGCGUCUCGGGCAGGUCAGUUCCCAACAGCCAGAACUGCCUCUGAUGGCAGUUUCUUUCACCAAAUUAUGCUCUGUAAGCAGGGUGGUAGCAGCAAGAACGGAAGAAAAGGACCCCUGUGAAGGUGUGACAGAGGUCGCACAGACAGUAUUUGGGAAUGAGCAGAUACCUCCUAGAGCUAAGAGAGGGACCACGCAAGGUGACCCAUGGAGCCACUGACUACAACAGAGACCUGCCACAGGUCAUUCUUCCACAGAUGGAGAAAAAUGAAAGAGUAUUAUCAUUACUACGAUCAUAAAUGCUAGCAAUACCCCCCAACAUGAAGACUAAUAAUCACAGGGAACAUUUAAUAAACACAUUAUAUACCAGGCUCGACACUAAGUCAUCUCCUUGCAUUAUUCCUCAUUAAACAAUAUUUUACUUAAUUCUCCAAACAGCUCUAUUCUGACUUCAGAGAAGUGAGGUAGCUUUCCUAAGGACAGUGGAUCUCACAAGUGGUCCAUGAUCCUCUAAGGGUCCCCAAGCUUUAGCUGCUCAGGUUCACAAGGUCAAAACUUUGUAUAAUGGCACUAAAUAAAACAUUACUCAGGGAGUUCCCUUGUGGCACAGCAGGUAAAGGAUGUGGCAUUGUCACGACUGUGGCUCUAGUUAUAGCUAUGGCAUGGGUUCAGUCCCUGGCCUGGGAACUUCUGCAUGCCACAAGUGCAGUCAAGAAAAAAACAUUUACUUAGGUUCCUUUCUGGUUGAAUUUUCACCAAUGCUGUAAAAGCAUUCAUGAGAAAAAAGUGUUAUUGCCUUAGCACUAACCAAGGUGGUAGCAGUGACAAAAAAGCCAAGUUCACUUGACAGGGUCCUUGAUGAAGCAGGACAAAUUAAUAAUUUUAUUAAAUUAUAUCCUGGAGUACACAUCUUUUUAAUAUUUUGUGUAGCAGACUGAGGCACAACAUAAAAGUACUUCUGCCAUAUUUCAAACUAUGACGUUGUCUCGAGGAAAAGCGAAUGGUAUGAUUGCUUGAGUUGCAAGCUGAACUAGCAGCUUUUUUCAAAGAAUAUGAUUUUUAAUUAAUGGACUGACAGGCAAACCAUGGUUAUUCACCCCGAGGGACUGAGCAAACACUUUCUCAAAAAUAAACAAGGUGAGCCUGCCCCUUCAAGGAAAACAACCAAUGCUAUUUGUGACAAUAAGAUUAAGCUUUGGAGUCCCCUGGUGGCUUAGUGGGUUAAGGAUCCAGUAUUGUCACUGCUGUGGCUUGGGUUGCUGCUGUGGUGCAGGGUCCAUCCCUGGCCCAGGAACUUCUACAUGCUGCAGGUAGAGGCAAAAAAAAGAGAGAGAGAGAAAAAGAUUCAAGCUUUGACACAAAACUUAAAUUUUGGACAAGAUGUAUCUGCCCCCAUGAGCUUCACAGCUUCCCCACCCAGGAGGACUUUUCAACAGCAUCACUGGCGCUGUUAACAAACCUGGCUUUUUUGAUAUCAUGUAACAACGUGUGUCAACACUUGGAAGACCUGCCUACUUCUGUGAAACAAUAUUUCCAAAUGACCUAUGUAAGGUGUUAUAAAAUCAUGAAUGCGCUUUUAAAAAGUUCCAUUCAAAGUAAAAGACCAAUGUGUUUUAAUGUAACACAGAAUGAAAGUUCACUGAUACAGCUUCAGACUCGUGCUGCAACUAACCUUUAUGAAACUCCCGAUUGUCUUGAAUUUUGGUGUAAUGUCAAAGAAUGUCCACAAUUUCAUGGAAAGAUUAUUAAAAAUCCCUCCAUUUUCCACUUGCAGAUCUGUGAAGCUGGAUUUUCUUCAUUUACUUCAUCCAAAACAAUAUAACCAACAGACAAAAAAAGCAAAUGAGAAUCCACCUUCUAUUAAACUAUAUUAGAGAAUUUACAAAAAUGUAAAUUUAGUCUUCUAAAUGUUUUUCUUUUGGAAAAUAUAGUUAUAUAUAUGCAUAUAUUUUGUUUGUUUGCUUUUUAGGGCCACACCUACGGCAUAUGGAGGUUCCCAGGCUAGGGGUCAAAUGGGAGCUA